rnacentral:rRNA from 1 species
CCGCGGUAAUACGAAGGGUGCAAGCGUUACUCGGAAUUAUUGGGCGUAAAGAGCUCGUAGGCGGUCUGUCGCGUCGGCUGUGAAAACCCGGAGCUCAACUCCGGGCCUGCAGUCGAUACGGGCAAACUGGAGUGUUGCAGGGGAGACUGGAAUUCCUGGUGUAGCGGUGAAAUGCGCAGAUAUCAGGAGGAACACCGGUGGCGAAGGCGGGUCUCUGGGCAACAACUGACGCUGAGGAGCGAAAGCGUGGGGAGCGAACAGG